rnacentral:rRNA from 1 species
CAGUAGCAUAUGCUUGUCUCAAAGAUUAAGCCAUGCAUGUCUCAGUACUUGCCGCUCCGACGGCGAAACCGCAAAUGGCUCAUUAAAUCAGUCACGGUUCAUUGGAUCGUGACGCGUUACUUGGAUAACUGUGGCAAUUCUAGAGCUAAUACAUGCAGCCGAGCUCCGACCCUCCGGGGGACGAGCGCUUUUAUUAGAUUGUGACCGGCCCCUCCUCUCGGGGUGGGGAUCGGAAACGUGAACCGAAGCUGAGUAACUUUGGCAGAUCGCACGGGCCCGUCCCGGCGACGCAUCUUUCAAGUGUCUGCCCUAUCAACUGUCGACGGUAGGUCAUGCGCCUACCGUGGUCGCCACGGGUGACGGGGAAUCAGGGUUCGAUUCCGGAGAGGGAGCCUGAGAGACGGCUACCACAUCUAAGGAAGGCAGCAGGCACGCAAAUUACCCACUCCCGGCUCGGGGAGGUAGUGACGAAAAAUAACGAUACGGGACUCAUCGAGACCCCGUGAUCGGAAUGAGUACGCUCUAAACCCCCUAACGAGGACCUACCGGAGGGCAAGACUAAUGCCAGCCGCUGCGGUAAUUUUAGCUCCGGUAGCGUAUACUAAAAUUGUUGCAGUUAAAAAGCUCGUAGUCGGACCUCUGCUCCGGACGCCGGGGGCCGCUCGCGCGGUCUCCCGCUGCGCUUCCGGGCAUUCUGCCCGCCACCUCGCGGGGUGAUUUUAAAAGGUCGUCCCCGGGUGGAAGGCGGUGAUCGCUUUGCAAAAAUUAGAGUGCUCAGAGCAGGCCCUGCCGCCUGGAUAGUAAUGCACGGAACGAUGGAAGACGCCCUCGGUCCCGGGUUUCCGUGGGAACAGGUCGACGGAGACCGAGGGAAUGAUCGAUAGGAGCAGACGGGGGCAUCCGUAUUCCGACGCUAGAGGUGAAAUUCUUGGACCGUCGGAAAACGACC